rnacentral:rRNA from 1 species
GAUGAACGCUGGCGGCGUGCCUAAUACAUGCAAGUCGAGCGAACAGACGAGGAGCUUGCUCCUCUGACGUUAGCGGCGGACGGGUGAGUAACACGUGGAUAACCUACCUAUAAGACUGGGAUAACUUCGGGAAACCGGAGCUAAUACCGGAUAAUAUAUUGAACCGCAUGGUUCAAUAGUGAAAGACGGUUUUGCUGUCACUUAUAGAUGGAUCCGCGCCGCAUUAGCUAGUUGGUAAGGUAACGGCUUACCAAGGCGACGAUGCGUAGCCGACCUGAGAGGGUGAUCGGCCACACUGGAACUGAGACACGGUCCAGACUCCUACGGGAGGCAGCAGUAGGGAAUCUUCCGCAAUGGGCGAAAGCUUGACGGAGCAACGCCGCGUGAGUGAUGAAGGUCUUCGGAUCGUAAAACUCUGUUAUUAGGGAAGAACAAAUGUGUAAGGAACUAUGCACGUCUUGACGGUACCUAAUCAGAAAGCCACGGCUAACUACGUG